AUUGAACGCUGGCGGCAGGCUUAACACAUGCAAGUCGAGCGGGGUGAUGGUGCUUGCACUAUCACUUAGCGGCGGACGGGUGAGUAAUGCUUAGGAAUCUGCCUAUUAGUGGGGGACAACAUCUCGAAAGGGAUGCUAAUACCGUACACGUCCUACGGGAGAAAGCAGGGGAUCACUUGUGACCUUGCGCUAAUAGAUGAGCCUAAGUCGGAUUAGCUAGUUGGGGGGGUAAAGGCCUACCAAGGCGACGGGCUGUAGCGGGUCUGAGAGGAUGAACCGCCACACUGGGACUGGGACACGGCCCAGACUCCUACGGGAGGCAGCAGUGGGGAAUAUUGGACAAUGGAGGGAACCCUGAUCCAGCCAUGCCGCGUGUGUGAAGAAGGCCUUAUGGUUGUAAAGCACUUUAAGCGAGGAGGAGGCUCUUUUGGUUAAUACCCAAGAUGAGUGGACGUUACUCGCAGAAUGAGCACCGGCUAACUCUGUGCCAGCCGCCGCGGUAA
rnacentral:rRNA from 1 species